rfam:Halanaerobium saccharolyticum subsp. saccharolyticum DSM 6643, type strain:DSM 6643, WGS project CATI01000000 data, contig: c12
UUGUUCUUUAAAUUAGUCCAGAGAGGCUAGUAAGGGAAAAUAUAAAUUUUAGCAACCUUCUUACUAUGCCGUGAGAAGGUUAUUUUUUU